AUACGUAGGUGGCAAGCGUUGUCCGGAUUUAUUGGGCGUAAAGCGAGCGCAGGCGGUUUCUUAAGUCUGAUGUGAAAGCCCCCGGCUCAACCGGGGAGGGUCAUUGGAAACUGGGAGACUUGAGUGCAGAAGAGGAGAGUAGAAUUCCAUGUGUAGCGGUGAAAUGCGUAGAUAUAUGGAGGAACACCAGUGGCGAAGGCGACUCUCUGGUCUGUAACUGACGCUGAGGCUCGAAAGCGUGGGGAGCAAACAGGAUUAGAUACCCUGGUAGUCCACGCCGUAAACGAUGAGUGCUAAGUGUUGGAGGGUUUCCGCCCUUCAGUGCUGCAGCUAACGCAUUAAGCACUCCGCCUGGGGAGUACGACC
rnacentral:rRNA from 1 species